rnacentral:rRNA from 1 species
CCUACGGGAGACAGCAGUGAGGAAUAUUGGUCAAUGGGUGCUAGCCUGAACCAGCCAAGUAGCGUGAAGGAUGACUGCCCUAUGGGUUGUAAACUUCUUUUAUAUGGGAAUAAAGUGCAGUAUGUAUACUGCUUUGCAUGUACCUUAUGAAUAAGGAUCGGCUAACUCCGUGCCAGCAGCCGCGGUAAUACGGAGGAUCCGAGCGUUAUCCGGAUUUAUUGGGUUUAAAGGGAGCGUAGGCGGGUUGUUAAGUCAGUUGUGAAAGUUUGCGGCUCAACCGUAAAAUUGCAGUUGAUACUGGCAGCCUUGAGUACAGUAGAGGUAGGCGGAAUUCGUGGUGUAGCGGUGAAAUGCUUAGAUAUCACGAAGAACUCCGAUUGCGAAGGCAGCCUGCUGGACUGUAACUGACGCUGAUGCUCGAAAGUGUGGGUAUCAAACAGGAUUAGAUACCCUAGUAGUC